rnacentral:rRNA from 1 species
GACGUAGGGUGCGAGCGUUGUCCGGAUUUAUUGGGCGUAAAGAGCUCGUAGGCGGCUCGUCGCGUCGACCGUGAAAACCCGCGGCUUAACUGCGGGCUUGCGGUUGAUACGGGCGGGCUAGAGUUCGGUAGGGGAGACUGGGAAUUCCUGGUGUAGCGGUGAAAUGCGCAGAUAUCAGGAGGAACACCGGUGGCGAAGGCGGGUCUCUGGGCCGAUACUGACGCUGAGGAGCGAAAGCGUGGGGAGCGAACAGG